rnacentral:rRNA from 1 species
UCUGCUCAAUGUUUUAUAAAUAGCUGCAUCAUAUGUACUAAGGUAGCAUAAUAAUUUGCCUUUUAAUUGAAGGAUUGUAUGAAGGAAAACACAAGGUAUAAGCUGUCUCUUUUUUAUUAUUAAAAAUUAAUCUACAAAGUGAAAAAGCUUGUAUAAAAUAAAUAGACAAGAAGACCCUGUUGAGCUUUAUCUAAAAAUUAAUAAAUAGAUUUUGUUGGGGCAACAUAAAUUUUUCACACCAAUUUAAUUAUUCUAGAAUAUAUUCACUUAAACUAUCUUAUUUUAUAAAAUAUUAAUAAGCUACCACAGGGAUAACAGGCUAAUUUUCUUUUAGAGUUCAAAUUAACAAGAAAGAUUGGUACCUCGAUGUUGGCUUAAGAUCACUGCUAAUUGUAGCAAUUUAGCUAGUUGGUU